UACGAAGGGGGCUAGCGUUGUUCGGAUUUACUGGGCGUAAAGGGCGCGUAGGCGGUUUAGCAAGUUGGAAGUGAAAGCCCGGGGCUUAACCUCGGAACUGCUUUCAAAACUGCUAAGCUAGAGUGUAGUAGGGGAUGAUGGAAUUCCUAGUGUAGAGGUGGAAUUCUUAGAUAUUAGGAGGAACACCGGUGGCGAAGGCGGUCAUCUGGGCUACAACUGACGCUGAGGCGCGAAAGCGUGGGGAGCAAACAGG
rnacentral:rRNA from 1 species